AUAACAUCUAAUGUUUCGACGUUAGAUGAACACGGAACCCUACAGGUUGAAAUCUUUGUUUAGUUUUGAGAGGUUAACUCUCAACUCGACCUUUGAAAACUGAAUACUAUAUCACAAAUGAAAACCAAAAAUUUACCGAGAGUUAGAGAAAUCUAACGAAAAAGAGUUUUUUAACAAGAAGCAACGCGACCAUAAUGG
rnacentral:misc_RNA from 1 species